UACGGAGGGUGCAAGCGUUAUCCGGAUUCACUGGGUUUAAAGGGUGCGUAGGCGGCCAACUAAGUCAGACGUGAAAUCCCUCGGCUUAACCGGGGAACUGCAUCUGAUACUGGAUGGCUUGAGUUCGGGAGAGGGAUGCGGAAUUCCAGGUGUAGCGGUGAAAUGCGCAGAUAUCAGGAGGAACACCGGUGGCGAAGGCGGGUCUCUGGGCCGAUACUGACGCUGAGGAGCGAAAGCGUGGGGAGCGAACAGG
rnacentral:rRNA from 1 species